ensembl:snRNA U6 U6 spliceosomal RNA
GUGCUUGCUUCUGUAGCACAUGGCUAAAUUUGGAACAAUGCAGGGAUUAGCCCUGGCCCUUGUGCAAGGAUGACACGCAAAUUCGUGAAGCAUUCCAUAUUUUU